GACGUAGGGCGCGAGCGUUGUCCGGAUUUAUUGGGCGUAAAGAGCUCGUAGGCGGCUCAUCGCGUCUGCCGUGAAAACCUGUGGCUCAACUACAGGCUUGCGGUUGAUACGGGUGGGCUGGAGUUCGGUAGGGGAGACUGGAAUUCCUGGUGUAGCGGUGAAAUGCGCAGAUAUCAGGAAGAACACCCGUGGCGAAGGCGGCUCUCUGGUACGUGACUGACGCUGAGACGCGAAAGCGUGGGGAGCAAACAGG
rnacentral:rRNA from 1 species